rnacentral:lncRNA from 1 species
UCAGGCUCCCCCCGCUGUGAAUUCCACCCAGAUGUACGCCAGGAUGGACUUCUCUCUCCCUUCAAUUGUUUCUGGUUGCAGCAACAAGGAGCGGUGGCAAUCUAGAUGCUGUGAUUUAGGACGAGUGCAACCUCUGGGGUGGUCGGCAAAGAUGUGAGUUCCCAAGGUUAACCUGCUCCUCUGCUACUAAGCUCCAGCAUUCGAUUCUAUUUGUAGAAAGGCUGUAACGCCUCGAGGGGGUGUGUUUACGUUCCGGUAAGAGAGAGCGGGAAGAAAACGAGACCAGGAAGGAUGCUGCCUAAUGUCAUUGGUUCCAUUCUAUCAGAAAAUAAUUGCUGCAAAAGAUGACUCUGCCUCUCCCUCGGGCCUCAGUUUACACUUCAUCGGCCACAACUGAGUGAUAAUGAAAGGCAGCCCGCGCCGUGCAUGAAGCUGCCAUACCAAGGGGGCAAGUGGGGCCCUUCAGAACCGGUAGAGAGAAGGGCAGGUGUUCAGAGUAUUGAAAACAUCCCAUCAGGGGGCAGCGACCUUGGAAACUGUGUCCCAGCUUUCCAGUUUGCCUUAGUUGUCUCCUGCCUAGAAACCCCUGGUGUGAAGACACUGUUGCCAGCUUCCUCUGUCUCCCCUGCUUUCAAAAUGGCUUUUAUCCACUUGGCGGGAGGAUUCCAUGUCACGACAGACUUCACGGCAGCAGCCCAAGUGGGUAGAAGAGGCUCUGCUGGGGCUGGAGAACCGGCUCAGUGGUUUGCAGCACUUGCUGUUCCCAGACAGUCUCAGAUUAG